rnacentral:rRNA from 1 species
ACGAACGCUGGCGGCGUGCUUAACCCAUGCAAGUCGAACGGAAAGGCCCCUUUGGGGGUACUCGAGUGGCGAACGGGUGAGUAACACGUGAGUAACCUGCCCUUGACUUCGGGAUAACUUCAGGAAACUGGGGCUAAUACCGGAUAGGAAUCCUUGCUGCAUGGUGGGGGUUGGAAAGCUUCGGCGGUUUUGGAUGGACUCGCGGCUUAUCAGCUUGUUGGUGGGGUAGUGGCUUACCAAGGCUUUGACGGGUAGCCGGCCUGAGAGGGCGACCGGCCACAUUGGGACUGAGAUACGGCCCAGACUCCUACGGGAGGCAGCAGUGGGGAAUAUUGCACAAUGGGCGGAAGCCUGAUGCAGCAACGCGCGUGCGGGAUGACGGCCUUCGGGUUGUAAACCGCUUUCAGCAGGGGCGAAGCUUGUGGUGACGGUACCUGCAGAAGAAGCACCGGCUAACUACGUG